UACGUAGGGGGCUAGCGUUGUCCGGAAUCAUUGGGCGUAAAGAGCGUGUAGGCGGCCCGGUAAGUCCGCUGUAAAAGUCAAAGGCUCAACCUUUGAAUGUCAGUGGAUACUGCCGGGCUAGAGUCCGGAAGAGGAGAGUGGAACUCCUGGUGUAGCGGUGGAAUGCGCAGAUAUCAGGAAGAACACCAACGGCGAAGGCAGCGCGCUGGGACGGUACUGACGCUGAGACGCGAAAGCGUGGGGAGCGAACAGG
rnacentral:rRNA from 1 species